rfam:Desulfitobacterium metallireducens DSM 15288, complete genome.
AUAGUUAGGCAGGGGAGCUGGAAAAGGCCGGCUGAGAUUUAGACCUGAUGAAGUCUAAGACCCUUUGAACCUGAUCUGGAUAAUCCCAGCGUAGGUGAGCAAUACUCUGUAACA